GACAGAGGGUGCAAACGUUGUUCGGAAUUACUGGGCGUAAAGCGCGUGUAGGCGGCUAAGUAAGUCGGGCGUGAAAUCCCACGGCUCAACCGUGGAAGUGCACUCGAAACUGCAUAGCUAGAGUCCUGGAGAGGAAGGUGGAAUGCUUGGUGUAGAGGUGAAAUUCGUAGAUAUCAAGCGGAACACCGGUGGCGAAGGCGGCCUUCUGGACAGUGACUGACGCUGAGACGCGAAAGCGUGGGGAGCAAACAGGAUUAAGAAACCCGUGGUACGUC
rnacentral:rRNA from 1 species